ensembl:processed_transcript 4930581F22Rik RIKEN cDNA 4930581F22 gene
UAGUUUUAUUUGAAUGGUACCUUUGGCCUGACAGUCACCUAGUCACUCAACAAAUAUUUAUUACAUUUCAUGUCCUGGUCUGGAGCUAAGCUGGGAAUAGACAAUACAAUGACUAUGUCUCUGUGUUUGGCAAGGGAAAAAGAAGAAGGCAAAAGAAAAACUGCUCGGGGAGAAAGAACAACUGAAAUAUGUCUGGCAAGUUGAUUCAAGAAACAGUUGCCCGGCCUCCAAACCUGGAUAAGUCUUCACCAAACUAGGUACAAAGACAAGUUCUUGCUAAAGGAGGAUACAAUUGUCCAUUGUGCUGGAGAGUGAUCUCAUGGUGCUACGUGUGGCCCUGUUCUGGUGAAGAGUGGCAGACGUCACCCUUUCUGAGGUAGGCUCCUGCCAGCUCCAUGGCUGAUCAUCAGCCCUUGAUACCCUGAAGUCUGUAGCCUUGAGAUUCUGUGAAGUGAAAGGCUGAUCAGAUGGUCCCCAGUCCCUCCACUGCAACCAGAUCAUUUUGCCCCGAUAGUGUUUUGAAAUUUCUGGCUGCCCCUUAUGAGUUUGUUUUGUCUUUCUGCCUAGAUAGCAAACCCAAGGCCAGGGUUCUGAUGACCAAAUAACAGAGGCAAAGGCAGGCUUUGGGGGGUUGCAUCAUCUGAUUCUCAGGAAAAUGUUACCAAUUCCAGGCAUCUAUCCCCAGCCCCCCUCAACUUAUCAACAACCUCGACACACACACAGGGUGUAACCUCGUUACUGGGGAGCAAA